CUGACAGCUGUCCUUCAUGACAACAGAAGCCACAGAAAUCCUCCUCAUCAAAAACAUGACUUUGAUCUCCGUCCUCAUCUGGACUCUCCUCUGCUUCACUCAGGAGUCCAGAGGCCAGAUCACAGUGACUCAGCCUGCAGCAGUGAGAGCUGAUCUGAGAGGAUCUGCAACCAUCAGCUGUAAGACCAGUCAGGAUGUUUAUAGUGUGUACGCCUUAGCCUGGUACCAACAGAGAGCUGGACAAGCUCCUAAGUUAUUAAUUAAGUUAGCUGACGAGCGACUGUCAGGGAUUCCAGAUCGUUUUUCAGGCAGUGGAAGAAACUCUGACUUCACUCUGACUAUCAGUGGAGUUCAGGCUGAAGAUGCAGCAGUUUAUUACUGUCAGAGUGUUCAUGAAAUCAACAGUCAGUGGGUGUUCACACAGUGA